UACGGAGGGUGCAAACGUUUGCUCGGAAUCAUUGGGCGUAAAGCGCACGUAGGCGGAUACUUAAGUCAGGGGUGAAAUCCCGGGGCUCAACCCCGGAACUGCCUUUGAUACUGGGUAUCUCGAGUCCGGAAGAGGUGAGUGGAAUUCCGAGUGUAGAGGUGAAAUUCGUAGAUAUUCGGAGGAACACCAGUGGCGAAGGCGGCUCACUGGUCCGGUACUGACGCUGAGGUGCGAAAGCCAGGGGAGCAAACGGG
rnacentral:rRNA from 1 species